rnacentral:misc_RNA from 1 species
GAAAAGCUGAAGUUCAUAUGAAUUUCUUCCACAAAAUCACAUUUUUCUUAACAAAGUUUUGAUUUUUAACGAAUUUUUGUUUGUAUUAUUUGAUUUGAUUUCUGGGUUUGUCUUCUUUUUUCAUUUUUUUAAACAUAUAGAGGUAUAUAAAGGGUCGCCGGAAAAUGUCAACUCCGACGCCGGUGACCGCCCUGGCUCCUAGUAAUGCUACUAAUUCUCCUCCACCGUCGACUCCUGCAACAACUCCUCCACCGGCGUCUCCGACGCCCCCUGCAACAGCUCCGCCGCCGGCGUCACCGACCCCACCGGCAACGGCUCCACCUCCAUCGACUCCUGCUCAAGCUCCUCCACCAGCAAGAACUCCGACACCACCUGCAGCAACUCCUCCGCCGGAUGCUUCAGCCUCUCCGCCUCCACCAACUACACCUGCUCCAUCUUCCAAUCCGCCUCCGUCAACAACUCCUGCUCCAUCUGGGUCUCCUUCUCCACCAUCUACCACCCCUUCAACCCCAUCUCCUCCGGCGAGAGGGAAUUCUCCGCCAUCACCUUCAGGGGGAUCUCCUUCACCACCUAGUGGAGGAAGACCAUCACCGCCGGCGGUUUCUUCACCGCCGUCAGAUGAAGGGUCAUCGGGAAUAUCGACAGGGGUUGUUGUUGGAAUUGCUAUUGGGGGUGUUUUGAUUCUUGCAAUUCUGAGUUUGUUGUUCAUAUUUUGCAAGAAGAAGAAAAGGAGAAAUCAUGAACCAGUAAAUUACUAUGUUCCUCCUCCACCACCACCACUAGGGGUCAAAGCUGACCCUCAUGGUGGGCAGAUGCAUCAUUGGCAGCAAAAUGCUCCACCUUCGGCAGAUCAUUUUGUUGCAAUGCCUCCUAAACCGUCUCCUCCACCAGCAGGGGGAUUACUACCUUCACAUGCUCCACCACGUGCACCUUCACCUCAGCCUCAACCUUACAUGAACAGCAGUGGAGCUUCUUCAAAUUAUUCUGGGUCUGAAAUUGCACUUCCACCACCUUCCCCUCCCAUGUCCUUAGGUUUCUCACAGAGCACAUUCACAUACGAGGAGUUGGUUCGAGCAACUGAUGGCUUCUCAGAUGCUAACCUUCUUGGACAAGGUGGUUUUGGUUAUGUGCACAAAGGAAUCCUUCCUAACGGAAAAGAAGUUGCAGUUAAACAGCUUAAGGCUGGAAGUGGACAAGGGGAACGUGAAUUUCAGGCGGAAGUCGAGAUUAUUAGCCGUGUACAUCAUAAGCAUCUCGUGUCUCUUGUCGGAUACUGCAUUACAGGG